rnacentral:rRNA from 1 species
AUUGAACGCUGGCGGCAUGCUUUACACAUGCAAGUCGAACGGUAACAGGUUAAGCUGACGAGUGGCGAACGGGUGAGUAAUGCAUCGGAACGUGCUCGCUCGUGGGGGAUAACGCAGCGAAAGCUGCGCUAAUACCGCAUACGACCUGAGGAUGACAGCGGGGGACCGUAAGGCCUCGCGCGAUCGGAGCGGCCGAGGUCGGAUUAGGUAGUUGGGGGGGUAAAGGCUCACCAAGCCAACGAUCUGCAGCUGGUCUGAGAGGACGACCAGCCACACUGGGACUGAGACACGGCCCAGACUCCUACGGGGGGCAGCAGUGGGGAAUUUUGGACAAUGGGCGAAAGCCUGAUCCAGCAAUGCCGCGUGUAUGAAGAAGGCCUUCGGGUUGUAAAGUGCUUUUGUACGGAGCGAAAAGGCUCUCUCUAAUACAGUGGGGUCAUGACGGUACCGUAAGAAUAAGCACCGGCUAACUACGUGCCAGCCGCCGCGGUAA